rnacentral:rRNA from 1 species
UACGUAGGGAGCAAGCGUUGUCCGGAAUCAUUGGGCGUAAAGCGCGCGUAGGUGGCUUCGUAAUUCCGUUGUGAAAGUCAAAGGCUCAACCUUUGAAAGCCGAUGGAUACUGCGGAGCUAGAGUACGGAAGAGGCGAGUGGAACUCCUGGUGUAGCGGUGGAAUGCGCAGAUAUCAGGAGGAACACCAAUAGCGAAGGCAGCUCGCUGGGACGUUACUGACACUGAGGCGCGAAAGCGUGGGGAGCAAACAGG